GAUCAUUUUGUAUUACUGUGCAUUGGUCUUCAAUCUGGGAAGACUUCAAAAUGAGGUAUUUAAAGAACAAAAAAAAAAAAUAAAAGCCAUGAAUCUUUUUAAGCUUAGUGUAUAAAAACACGAGUUAUAACUCAUGGGCACAGCU